UUUAAUAUGACAGAUUUAAUGUAAUGAAUUUAAGAUUCAUCAAUAAAAUUUUUAUAAAUUUUUAUUAAAA
rnacentral:tRNA from 1 species